rnacentral:lncRNA from 1 species
CGAAAAAAAGGGAAAUGUUCAUUUUCUGUCUGGAAUAAAAACAAAUGGGAUGUUGAAUGCGUGGCAACCUAUUAGACAGCAAUAACGGAAUAUGUAAACGAGUGUAAGGAACUGUACGGCCUCCAUCAAUGAGAAAUUUUCCAGUUUGAAAACAAAGGAAACAAUUCAAACGAGAAAAAAAAAUUACGAAAAACAAUAAAUAACAUCAACCACAGCAUCAAAUGCUACUAACUUGAGAGAAACACUUACUUAAUAUGGCGGGGGUCGAGAUGUAUACAAGCGAUCGAUCAUCCUCCUUAUUUGGACAAAACGUAAUAUCCAACUAUUAAAAUUAGUUGGAAGACAUUGACUAUUCAGAUCGUUACAAAUUAUGCAUAUAUGUACACAGCCAUUUUUUAUAGUCUUAAAACGUCAAAAACAAUCCUGGAAAUAUUGACCUUGUGCAAUGUAAAAAUGUCAUACAUAUUUAG